rnacentral:rRNA from 1 species
CAGUAGCCACGGGAAUACGUAGGUGGCAAGCGUUGUCCGGAAUUAUUGGGCGCAAAGGGCACGCAGGCGGUUUCUUAAGUCUGAUGUGAAAGCCCCCGGCUCAACCAGGGAGGGUCAUUGGAAACUGGGAAACUUGAGUGCAGAAGAGGAGAGUGGAAUUCCACGUGUAGCGGUGAAAUGCGUAGAGAUGUGGAGGAACACCAGUGGCGAAGGCGACUCUCUGGUCUGUAACUGACGCUGAGGAGCGAAAGCGUGGGGAGCGAACAGGAUUAGAUACCCGUGUAGUCCCUGUCUCUUAUAC